UGAAAAACCACCCAGGCUUGGCUGAUAGUGAGGUGGCUAAAAUUUGUUUAAUCGCCCGAUCGCUCGGCAAGGGUCUGUGUCUUAGCUGGACUUAUUUUUCGUUUAUAUGGGCCGAUGAUGCUUGUCGAUGUGGAAAAAAUAACUGAGUUGUUUGGUGGUGGAGCUACAACAGAGGGCAGCUAUCCACCGGUGUGUGACAGAAAGGACAUGCCGCGAACGAGACAUACAAGGCGGUGAGGCUACCGCGGAUCGACUGGUGUUUGCUAACGCGGAGGUCAAUCGUGGAUGAGGAAAAGCGAAGGCAGGAGCGUGAGGUGAACUGAAUUUCAGGGAUUUUCUGAAGUGUUUACUAAGACACCCGUAAGCUUUUACAAGGUAAGUGUAUCUCUCUCCCUCUGCUUUGAAAUGUAGGUUUGAAAGAGAUUUUUUCGUGUGUUUCUGGGUUAGCUCUUUGUCUGGAUUUCGGCACUGUGCUAAAGCUAGCUAGCGGAUAUUGAGCAUAGCUAAGCCUCUUUGGCCCUCGUUUGAAAUUGACUUUGAAAGGAAUUUUCUAUGUUUUGACGCUG
ensembl:lncRNA